UGUGUAGGCGGUUCUCCAAGUUUGGUGUGAAAUCUCCCGGCUCAACCGGGAGGGUGCGCCGAAAACUGGGGGGCUAGAGUGCGGGAGGGGAGAGUGGAAUUCCUGGUGUAGCGGUGAAAUGCGUAGAUAUCAGGAGGAACACCGGUGGUGUAGACGGCUCUCUGGACCGUAACUGACGCUGAGACACGAAAGCGUGGGUAGCAAACAGGAUUAGAUACCCUGGUAGUCCACGCCCUAAACGAUGCACAUUUGGUGUAGGUCAUUCAGUUGAUCUGUGCCGGAGCUAACGCGUUAAAUGUGCCGCCUGGGGAGUACAGUCGCAAGGCUGA
rnacentral:rRNA from 1 species